rnacentral:lncRNA from 10 species
CUCCUGGAUUCUGGGAAUUAAGCUUUCCCCAGCAGCUACACUAAAGACAAUGUAGUCCCAUUGGCUGACCAACUCCCAGAUUCAUGCACCAAAGACACCUGCAACCUGCCUGGUCCAACCUGCGAAUUUUACAGAUGGGAAAACUCAGUCCUGGAGGCCUUUCCUGGUGAGAGACAAAGGUCACUGUCUGGGUGGUCAGGAUGGUGGCUCAUGGGGGCAGCACCCACAUGGGGAUGACACGUGGAGUGAAGUGUCCACCUGCCUGUGUCCACCCAGUGAGGCUGGGAUGAGACCCUGUGGAUGGAUGGCUGGUGACACUUGGGAGCAGCCGCAGACAAGCCGAUCACUCAGAGACUUAGGGCUCACUGGGGAGGCGUGAGAUUUCCUUUAGUCCUUGGACACCAAGUGAACACCACUCUACACCCGUAUCCAGCAUUGAUGACAAAGAAGACAGAUCCCAAGAAAGGGCUGGUGGGGGUUACACCAUGGCAGGAAAGUUCCUGGGAUUGGGAAUGAGCUAGACUCCACCUAUUGGUUGUGUGACUUGAGAAAGCAACUUAAUCUCUCCAACCUCAUUCAUUCGAUAACUACUCAUCAGGUACUCGCUGCAUGCCAAGCAUUGUUAGAGACUUUCGAUGCAGCCUUUUCUACAAAAUAGGGAUUUUUACCACCUACCUAAUAGGACUGAUGUUAAGUCCAUAAGACAUAAAGCAAUGACUAUAGUACCUGGCCCUCAAUUAAGGUGAGUUAUAAUCUCCUACUAACAUACCUCUCCUUUUGGAAAUUGGGGGUCGGGGUGUGAUGGACAAGAAGCAAGUCAAUUCAAAGCCUGGCAUUCAAGAGAAAAAUACCUAAUGGGUGACAAUAGCAAAUUCCCAGCCAUUUUGCUCUCUUAUUUGAAAAGAACAGACCAGGCAGGGUUUGGAAUGACCAAAAGUUAAGGCAACAAGUGCAGUGGCAAGGACACCAGGCCUAGUCUGCCCCGCUGUCUUGCUGUGUGACUUAAGUUAAAAGCUUUGCCCUCUCUGUUCCUGGCUUUCCUCAUCUGUCAGAGGAAAAUAAUAAUAUCUGCCCUGCUUAGUCCUCAUCGUAGUAACAUAAAACAUAAGAAUGUAUCUUAAUAUGAUAAUGUAAAACUUAAGUUAUCUGUGAUGCUUAAGUUAAUGUAUCUGAAAGUGCUUUGAAAAAUACAAAAUGUCUUAGUCCAUUUGGGCUGCUAUAACAAAAUACCUUAGACUGGGUAAUUUAUAAACAAAGUUGUUGCCCAUAGUUCUGGAUGCUGGGAAGUUGGAAGAUGAAGGUCCCAGCAGACUCGGUGUCAGUCGAGGGCCUGUUCCUCAUAGAUGGAAGUUGGAAGAUGAAGGUCCCAGCAGACUUGUUGUCGGUCGAGGGCCUGUUCCUCAUAGAUGGAACCUUCUACCUGUCUUCACAUGGUGCAAGGGAUGGACAAG